UGACAAGUCUGUGCAAAGUUGAUAUCUCAUAAGCAUGGCACUGAAUCUGCCAGAAGCAUCAGUCCAAAGAGGCAACGGUCUUAAAGAUAUACAUGUAUGGUGAUACACAUGGUCAGAGGAACAUACUGCAGACCUGAGAUCACAGUAACUGUAACUUCUAGCUUUUAAACAGAUCAUGAUGCAUGUCUACACACCUGAUUGAGAAAUUUAGAAGUGCCUGGACUGCAGUUGUAGCUGGAGGAUUCCAGAAACCUGUUUUUUCCAAGAAAGACUUGGAGGAGUAUACAGAAAUUGGUCAUCCCUCAUUAAAUGAAUAUGGUUAAAUAUUGAAACUUUCUGGAAAUUCCUUCAGUGUUUCAGUGCUGAUAUUCCACUCCUCAGAUUCUGAGAGGUUUGGUGUCCAAUUUUUGAAUAUCAGCAUGAUAUCAGCCAUUCUAACCUCCUGAAACCUUCUAUAACUGUGCUACAACCUCUGGUCCAGAGUUCUCAUUGGCCAACACUUUAAGAUGUGCAGUUUGUUCAGAACAGCAGCCUUUUAUUUGGGAAGGAAGGAUGCCUACACCACCUGCUGAACCAGCAUGGUAUCCUGCAUGCCUUUUACUUCAUUGCCCAUUCAAAAGGGAUAAUGGAGAAGGAGAAAAGGAUGAAGCAGGAUAUGAUGGGGGAACUUAGGAAACCUGAUCUCACUUCCUCACUCACCCAGGUGUCCUCUGUUACACAGCUGCUGCUCCUCUUCCAAAUUCUGCUAAUGAAGAGGACUGAACAAAUCUAUUUGUAUCCUGAUCACAUUCUGCACUGCUGGGGAUUCACCACCACACAGCCUUACUCAGCGUGA
rnacentral:lncRNA from 1 species